rnacentral:rRNA from 1 species
UAAGCGACUAAGCGUACACGGUGGAUGCCCUGGCAGUCAGAGGCGAUGAAGGACGUGCUAAUCUGCGAUAAGCGUCGGUGAGGUGAUAUGAACCGUUAUAACCGGCGAUUUCCGAAUGGGGAAACCCAGUGUGUUUCGACACACUAUCAUUAACUGAAUCCAUAGGUUAAUGAGGCGAACCGGGGGAACUGAAACAUCUAAGUACCCCGAGGAAAAGAAAUCAACCGAGAUUCCCCCAGUAGCGGCGAGCGAACGGGGAGGAGCCCAGAGCCUGAAUCAGUGUGUGUGUUAGUGGAAGCGUCUGGAAAGGCGCGCGAUACAGGGUGACAGCCCCGUACACAAAAAUGCACAUAUUGUGAGCUCGAUGAGUAGGGCGGGACACGUGGUAUCCUGUCUGAAUAUGGGGGGACCAUCCUCCAAGGCUAAAUACUCCUGACUGACCGAUAGUGAACCAGUACCGUGAGGGAAAGGCGAAAAGAACCCCGGCGAGGGGAGUGAAAAAGAACCUGAAACCGUGUACGUACAAGCAGUGGGAGCCUCUUAAUGGGGUGACUGCGUACCUUUUGUAUAAUGGGUCAGCGACUUAUAUUCUGUAGCAAGGUUAACCGAAUAGGGGAGCCGAAGGGAAACCGAGUCUUAACUGGGCGUUAAGUUGCAGGGUAUAGACCCGAAACCCGGUGAUCUAGCCAUGGGCAGGUUGAAGGUUGGGUAACACUAACUGGAGGACCGAACCGACUAAUGUUGAAAAAUUAGCGGAUGACUUGUGGCUGGGGGUGAAAGGCCAAUCAAACCGGGAGAUAGCUGGUUCUCCCCGAAAGCUAUUUAGGUAGCGCCUCGUGAAUUCAUCUCCGGGGGUAGAGCACUGUUUCGGCAAGGGGGUCAUCCCGACUUACCAACCCGAUGCAAACUGCGAAUACCGGAGAAUGUUAUCACGGGAGACACACGGCGGGUGCUAACGUCCGUCGUGAAGAGGGAAACAACCCAGACCGCCAGCUAAGGUCCCAAAGUCAUGGUUAAGUGGGAAACGAUGUGGGAAGGCCCAGACAGCCAGGAUGUUGGCUUAGAAGCAGCCAUCAUUUAAAGAAAGCGUAAUAGCUCACUGGUCGAGUCGGCCUGCGCGGAAGAUGUAACGGGGCUAAACCAUGCACCGAAGCUGCGGCAGCGACACUAUGUGUUGUUGGGUAGGGGAGCGUUCUGUAAGCCUGUGAAGGUGGCCUGUGAGGGUUGCUGGAGGUAUCAGAAGUGCGAAUGCUGACAUAAGUAACGAUAAAGCGGGUGAAAAGCCCGCUCGCCGGAAGACCAAGGGUUCCUGUCCAACGUUAAUCGGGGCAGGGUGAGUCGACCCCUAAGGCGAGGCCGAAAGGCGUAGUCGAUGGGAAACAGGUUAAUAUUCCUGUACUUGGUGUUACUGCGAAGGGGGGACGGAGAAGGCUAUGUUGGCCGGGCGACGGACGUCCCGGUUUAAGCGUGUAGGCUGGUUUUCCAGGCAAAUCCGGAAAACCAAGGCUGAGGCGUGAUGACGAGGCACUACGGUGCUGAAGUGACAAAUGCCCUGCUUCCAGGAAAAGCCUCUAAGCAUCAGGUAACAUCAAAUCGUACCCCAAACCGACACAGGUGGUCAGGUAGAGAAUACCAAGGCGCUUGAGAGAACUCGGGUGAAGGAACUAGGCAAAAUGGUGCCGUAACUUCGGGAGAAGGCACGCUGAUAUGUAGGUGAAGCGACUUGCUCGUGGAGCUGAAAUCAGUCGAAGAUACCAGCUGGCUGCAACUGUUUAUUAAAAACACAGCACUGUGCAAACACGAAAGUGGACGUAUACGGUGUGACGCCUGCCCGGUGCCGGAAGGUUAAUUGAUGGGGUUAGCGGCAACGCGAAGCUCUUGAUCGAAGCCCCGGUAAACGGCGGCCGUAACUAUAACGGUCCUAAGGUAGCGAAAUUCCUUGUCGGGUAAGUUCCGACCUGCACGAAUGGCGUAAUGAUGGCCAGGCUGUCUCCACCCGAGACUCAGUGAAAUUGAACUCGCUGUGAAGAUGCAGUGUACCCGCGGCAAGACGGAAAGACCCCGUGAACCUUUACUAUAGCUUGACACUGAACAUUGAGCCUUGAUGUGUAGGAUAGGUGGGAGGCUUUGAAGUGUGGACGCCAGUCUGCAUGGAGCCGACCUUGAAAUACCACCCUUUAAUGUUUGAUGUUCUAACGUUGGCCCGUAAUCCGGGUUGCGGACAGUGUCUGGUGGGUAGUUUGACUGGGGCGGUCUCCUCCUAAAGAGUAACGGAGGAGCACGAAGGUUGGCUAAUCCUGGUCGGACAUCAGGAGGUUAGUGCAAUGGCAUAAGCCAGCUUGACUGCGAGCGUGACGGCGCGAGCAGGUGCGAAAGCAGGUCAUAGUGAUCCGGUGGUUCUGAAUGGAAGGGCCAUCGCUCAACGGAUAAAAGGUACUCCGGGGAUAACAGGCUGAUACCGCCCAAGAGUUCAUAUCGACGGCGGUGUUUGGCACCUCGAUGUCGGCUCAUCACAUCCUGGGGCUGAAGUAGGUCCCAAGGGUAUGGCUGUUCGCCAUUUAAAGUGGUACGCGAGCUGGGUUUAGAACGUCGUGAGACAGUUCGGUCCCUAUCUGCCGUGGGCGCUGGAGAACUGAGGGGGGCUGCUCCUAGUACGAGAGGACCGGAGUGGACGCAUCACUGGUGUUCGGGUUGUCAUGCCAAUGGCACUGCCCGGUAGCUAAAUGCGGAAGAGAUAAGUGCUGAAAGCAUCUAAGCACGAAACUUGCCCCGAGAUGAGUUCUCCCUGACCCUUUAAGGGUCCUGAAGGAACGUUGAAGACGACGACGUUGAUAGGCCGGGUGUGUAAGCGCAGCGAUGCGUUGAGCUAACCGGUACUAAUGAACCGUGAGGCUUAACCU